GCCGGGAUGAGCGCCCCUCCCCAGCUCGGUGCCUGGACGCAGAGAAGAACCCGCGCUGGGUUUCCUAUUUCUGUCCCAGGCACUUCCUUGCAGCUGUGGAGAGCACUCUUGCUGGGUUUGUGGGAUUCGAGUUUGACCUGGCACGAAGUCAGCGACCACGGAAACGGCAGCUUUCUCACGCAGAUCUUUGUGGCGCUAUGUUGGGAAGUGCUCCCCGUCCUGGACAAGUAAGGGAGAUGUCUCAUGAAGCUGGUCAACCAGGAUGGCACGAUUUCCCUUUCAAGAUCACAGAAAACAUGUGUUCCUUUUCCACAUCAUUGAAAGCUAUCCGUGUCAGAAAUUGAAAGCAAGUAAUCAAAUUGGCAAGAAUGAAAAAGUGAUGGAUUGCCCAAACCUGGAAGCAACCCAGAUGCCCUUCAGGAGGUGAAUGCUAAACAAACUCUGGUCCGUCCACACCAUGGAUGAGUCACUGAGCCAAGAAACAGCCGAGAUGGGUCUGAGGGAUUUAUGCUGAGUGAAUAAA